rnacentral:rRNA from 1 species
GACGAACGCUGGCGGCGUGCCUAAUACAUGCAAGUCGAGCGCAGGAAACUGACGGAACUCUUCAGAGGGAAGGCAGCGGAAUGAGCGGCGGACGGGUAAGUAACACGUAAGGAACCUGCCUCAAGGAUUGGGAUAACUCCGAGAAAUCGGAGCUAAUACCGGAUAGUUCAACGGACCGCAUGGUCCGCUGAUGAAAGGCGCUUCGGCGUCACCUUGAGAUGGCCUUGCGGUGCAUUAGCUAGUUGGUGGGGUAACGGCCCACCAAGGCGACGAUGCAUAGCCGACCUGAGAGGGUGAUCGGCCACACUGGGACUGAGACACGGCCCAGACUCCUACGGGAGGCAGCAGUAGGGAAUCUUCCACAAUGGGCGAAAGUCUGAUGGAGCAACGCCGCGUGAGUGAUGAAGGUUUUCGGAUCGUAAAACUCUGUUGUAAGGGAAGAACACGUACGAGAGGGAAUGCUCGUACCUUGACGGUACCUUACGAGAAAGCCACGGCUAACUACGUGCCAGCCGCCGCAGUAACAC